rnacentral:lncRNA from 1 species
GUUGAAAUCGCACAAAGUGGAGAAGAGUUAUAAAGUGCCAAAAAAUGGCGGAAGAAAAAUAAUAAUAAUAAUAAUAACUAGAAAAUUUGCAUUUCCUUGCAGAAAAUGCGUGGAAAUGCUGAGUGCUGAAAGCUGAAAAAGCAAUGCUAAACUGCUAAUAAAACAUGGAGAAAGGUAUAAAUGUAAAAGCUGUUGAAGGGGUAAAAAAAUAUAUAUAAGUUAAAUAAUUGUGAAAAUGGUUGGAGGAUAAAUAGUAUGAAUAUGCUCCUCAAAUUGAAAUUUGAUUCAUGCUGAUAGAGGCUGGAAAAUGUUCUACAAUUACACAAAGUUUGAAUGAAGAAGUAAAUUACCUUAAAAGGCAAGUAAGUGAAAAGUGGCAUAAGUUUAAGUUGUAGUACUAGAAGUAGUAUGAUAAUAGGUAGUUGUAGUAGUGAUAUUAGUAGUCAUGUAAGCAGUAGAAGUAGUUUUAGAAUUGAAGAAGUAGAAGUCAAAGCAGUAGAGCUCGUGGUAGAAGUAAGAGUAGAAGUAAAAAAAUAUUAAGAGAAGCAAGAGCAGUGGAGGUGGAAGUGAAGAUACAAGUUAAGGUGACAUAAGUAGUAAUUGUAGUGGUAGAACUGGGAUUUUGCUUGAAGAAUUAAAACAUACAUAAAUAAUGAGAAUGAUUUUGAAGUGGGAAAAACUUAAAAAUUAGACGUCCUAAUGUGUUUAACAGGUUUGAAGUAUCCCAAAGGUUUGAAUCAGUUUGAAUGAGUUUGGAUUUGUCUGAAGAAUUUCAUAAUGCAUGAAUAAUGAGAAUAAUUUUAAAGUGGGAAAAAGUUAAAUGAAUAAAAAUCCUGAGUACACCCCAUAUUGUCCUCAAUGAGCUGAAUUUUUGGAGCCCUGAAUGGUUUCUGUAGGUCAAAGUUUGUAGUCCUCGCUUUGUGGGUCUUUUCUCAUAGACCUCACAAAGCAGCAAGUACAAGAUUUUGUGUGUGUGUCUCGUUAAUGACUGCAUCCUAAACAGCUGUGAGAUCAAAGGCAUUAACUGACCUACUGUUUGACUGAGAAGCAGCUGAACUGCAGAGGAUGUAAAGCCUCUGAACUUCUUCACAUUGUGUGAUUUCCUUAAGUCCCAGAAUGAAAAUAAGAACAUCGUACGAAUCCUCCGUCCUUCAUGAACACAAUGAUGUGUUUUUCAUGUCUGUACUUCGAAAAAUGAGGCCACAACAGCGAGUUAAAAAAGUCUGAGCUUGAGCGAUGAUCCGGAUUUUCUUGGAGAAAAAUAACAUUACAGUCAAUGGGAGAGAUUUCCGCCUUUUUUGGACAGUUGGUCACCUGCUGGCCAAGGGGUACGAUUUAAUGAUUUGAAACCUCUUUUGUGAGAAGCAGGACACAUAUACCUCCAUUUUGAUGUAUUAUUUGUGUCAGUGGAGUGAGAUUUGUGGGCGUGGGAGCGAUAUAUUCGAGCGAGGUUCUGUCGAUCAGAGACGAGGUCUGCACUCUAGCUGAUGACAUCAUCACUCUAAACUCUCCAAUACACACCCAUUAUAAAGCUUGAAAUUUGCUGAAAACCACAAGUUGCUUAAAGCUAAAUUGUGGAAAAACUGUAAGAGAUAUCAAAAAACUGAGUACAACUGUAAUAGUCGACAAGUGAAUGAACAUUUUAAAACAAAAAUGAGGUCUCUAGGUGAAAGUAUGCAGAAGUUACAAGGUUCAGAAGGUGGAAGAAAAACAGGAAGAAUUGGAAGAUUUCCCCAUUGACUUCAAUGUUAAAAUUUUUGCAUAAAAAGUUAAAAAAAUCAAAAAGUAUAAAGGGUAGAAAAGUGAAAAGUAAUCGCCGUCAUGUCCUGAAGGAGAGGAAUAGUUUAAAGUUUGAACGGUUGAAAUCGCACAAAGUGGAGAAGAGUUAUAAAGUGCCAAAAAAUGGCGGAAGAAAAAUAAUAAUAACUAGAAAAUUUGCAUUUCCUUGCAGAAAAUGCGUGGAAAUGCUGAGUGCUGAAAGCUGAAAAAGCAAUGCUAAACUGCUAAUAAAACAUGGAGAAAGGUAUAAAUGUAAAAGCUGUUGAAGGGGUAAAAAAAUAUAUAUAAGUUAAAUAAUUGUGAAAAUGGUUGGAGGAUAAAUAGUAUGAAUAUGCUCCUCAAAUUGAAAUUUGAUUCAUGCUGAUAGAGGCUGGAAAAUGUUCUACAAUUACACAAAGUUUGAAUGAAGAAGUAAAUUACCUUAAAAGGCAAGUAAGUGAAAAGUGGCAUAAGUUUAAGUUGUAGUACUAGAAGUAGUAUGAUAAUAGGUAGUUGUAGUAGUGAUAUUAGUAGUCAUGUAAGCAGUAGAAGUAGUUUUAGAAUUGAAGAAGUAGAAGUCAAAGCAGUAGAGCUCGUGGUAGAAGUAAGAGUAGAAGUAAAAAAAUAUUAAGAGAAGCAAGAGCAGUGGAGGUGGAAGUGAAGAUACAAGUUAAGGUGACAUAAGUAGUAAUUGUAGUGGUAGAACUGGGAUUUUGCUUGAAGAAUUAAAAAAUACAUAAAUAAUGAGAAUGAUUUUGAAGUGGGAAAAACUCAAAAAAUUAGACGUCCUAAUGUGUUUAACAGGUUUGAAGUAUCCCAAAGGUUUGAAUCAGUUUGAAUGAGUUUGGAUUUGUCUGAAGAAUUUCAUAAUGCAUGAAUAAUGAGAAUAAUUUUAAAGUGGGAAAAAGUUAAAUGAAUAAAAAUCCUGAGUACACCCCAUAUUGUCCUCAAUGAGCUGAAUUUUUGGAGCCCUGAAUGGUUUCUGUAGGUCAAAGUUUGUAGUCCUCGCUUUGUGGGUCUUUUCUCAUAGACCUCGCAAAGCAGCAAGUACAAGAUUUUGUGUGUGUGUCUCGUUAAUGACUGCAUCCUAAACAGCUGUGAGAUCAAAGGCAUUAACUGACCUACUGUUUGACUGAGAAGCAGCUGAACUGCAGAGGAUGUAAAGCCUCUGAACUUCUUCACAUAGCGUGAUUUCCUUAAGUCCCAGAAUGAAAAUAAGAACAUUGUACGAAUCCUCCGCCCUUCAUGAACACAAUGAUGUGUUUUUCAUGUCUGUACUCCAAGAAAUGUGGCCACAACAGUGAGUUAAAAAAGUCUGAGCCUGAGUGGCGAUAAGGAUUUUCUUGGAGAAAAAAUACAUUAGGGCUAAUGGGAGAGAUUUCCGCCUAUUUGAACAGUUGGUCACCUGCUGGCCAAGGGGUAGGAUUUAAUGAUUUGAAACCUCUUUUGUGAGAAGCAGGACACAUAUACCUCCAUUUUGAUGUAUUUUUUAUGUCUGUGGAGUGAGAUUUGUAGGCGUGGGAGCGAUAUAUUCGAGCGAGGUUCUGUCGAUCAGAGACGAAGUCUGCACUCUAGCUUUUCAAAUUGUCACUCUAGCCUCUCCAAUACACACCCAUUAUAAAGCUUGAAAUUUGCUGAAAACCACAAGUUGCUUAAAGCUAAAUUGUGGAAGAACUGUAAAAGAUAUCAAAAAACUGACUACAACUGUAAUAGUCGACAAGACAAUGAACAUUUUAAAGCAAAAAUGAGGUCUCUAGGUGAAAGUAUGCAGAAGUUAUAAGGUUCAGAAGGUGGAAGAAUAACAGGAAGAAUUGGAAGAUUUCCCCAUUGACUUCAAUGUUAAAAUUUUUGCAUAAAAAGUUAAAAAAAUCAAAAAGUAUAAAGGGUAGAAAAGUGAAAAGUAAUCGCCGUCAUGUCCUGAAGGAGAGGAAUAGUUUAAAGUUUGAACGGUUGAAAUCGCACAAAGUGGAGAAGAGUUAUAAAGUGCCAAAAAAUGGCGGAAGAAAAAUAAUAAUAAUAACUAGAAAAAUUGCAUUUCCUUGCAGAAAAUGCGUGGAAAUGCUGAGUGCUGAAAGCUGAAAAAGCAAUG